CCUACGGGAGGCACCAGUGGGGAAUCUUGGGCAAUGAGCGCAAGCCUGACCCAGCGACGCCGCGUGUGGGAAGAAGGCCCUCGGGUCGUAAACCACUGUCAGGAGGGAAGAAAUGCAGUUCCCCAACAGGGGGCUGUAUUGACGGUACCUCCAGAGGAAGCACCGGCCAACUCCGUGCCAGCGGCCGUGGUAAUACGGAGGGUGCAAGCGUUAUUCGGAAUCACUGGGCGUAAAGCGCGCGUAGGCGGCAGCGCAAGUCAGAUGUGAAAGCCCUCGGCUAAACCGGGGAAUUGCAUCUGAAACUGCGUGGCUAGGGUUCGGGAGAGGGCGGCGGAACUCCCGGUGUAGGGGUGAAAUCCGUAGAUAUCGGGAGGAACACCAGAGGCGAAGGCGGCCGCCUGGACCGAAACUGACGCUGAGACGCGAAAGCGUGGGUAGCAAACAGGAUUAGAUACCCUGGUAGUC
rnacentral:rRNA from 1 species